rnacentral:rRNA from 1 species
CCGUAGCCCAAGAGAUCGGGAUAACACCUGGAAACAGAUGCUAAUACCGGAUAACAACAGAUGAUGCCUAUCAACUGUUUAAAAGAUGGUUCUGCUAUCACUCUUGGAUGGACCUGCGGUGCAUUAGCUAGUUGGUAGGGUAACGGCCUACCAAGGCGAUGAUGCAUAGCCGAGUUGAGAGACUGAUCGGCCACAUUGGGACUGAUACACGGCCCAAACUCCUACGGGAGGCAGCAGCG